UACAGAGGGUGCAAGCGUUACUCGGAAUUACUGGGCGUAAAGCGUGCGUAGGUGGUUUGUUAAGUCUGAUGUGAAAGCCCUGGGCUCAACCUGGGAAUGGCAUUGGAUACUGGCGAGCUAGAGUGCGGUAGAGGGUAGUGGAAUUCCCGGUGUAGCAGUGAAAUGCGUAGAGAUCGGGAGGAACAUCUGUGGCGAAGGCGACUACCUGGACCAGCACUGACACUGAGGCACGAAAGCGUGGGGAGCAAACAAG
rnacentral:rRNA from 1 species